GAAGAACUGGAAUAGAGCUCGCCUCGGCUCUGCUGGCCUUGGCUGAAGCUCUUCCAGAGACCCGGGGCGGCCACGGGAGAAUGCCUUACCUGGAGCUCUCUUCAGGGAUGACAUCAUCGGCUCACACCAGUCUUCCAGGACCACCUUCUGGAUGCCAAGGCUGCUGCUCAAAGUCAAGGAGCAUGGAUUCCAGGAACCCACUAGCAUACAGAACAACUUCUUGUGGACCCCCCUGGGAUCAGGACAUCGAGGGACAAGCAACAAAGAGGAUCAUCAGUGUCCAGCUAGUCUCUCUCUGGGGUUCAAACCUUGAAUCAAUGCCCUAGUGAGGGGGCACUGGCCAUGACCCCUCAACCUUUGCUCUGCUUGUAUCUUGAGUCUGAGUCCUUCCCUGUACAUCUGUGCUCGUGUUCAUCAGCUAGUGAACUGAAGUGCUUCCCUCCCCGAGGGGGGUCGUCCCUUGUGACUGACCAUGUUGUCCUAACAAUGUCCUGAGCAGAAGGGUCCCCAAUGGGAACCUCUCAGGAGGGGGGUUUGGGGCGGCGGGGGGGGGACCAGCAUCUUGCUGGCAACUGUGGGUGGGGUGGGGUGCUUCCUUCUGGAAUGAGCAUGUGGCUGACCCCCAAAGGCAUGCCCCCUCCCCCCCCACCCACCUUCUUGGAGAUGUCCCUUCCUUUUGGGGUAGUGGGGACAUUAGGAGCAACCUCCUAGGGUUGUUGUGAGAAUUAAAUGAACUGUAGCAGCCUGAGGCAGGGCUGGGCAGAAACCUCAGCACAUGUUUGUUGAAAGGUUUGCAGGUGGAUCAAGUCACCCAACUCACAGUCUCAUGUGUCUCGUCUAUUCUCCUGCAGACUCCUGUAGCCCCUAUGCCCAGGGCUCUUCUUGCUCCAGCUAGGGGCUCCUAAAGACAACAGGCCGUCCAGGAGACUUUGAGUAAGGACAUGAGUAAUGUGUGUGGCCAUUUCCAGAGCACUUUCUAUGUAAUAUGACCGUGUUAUUCCUAUGUAAUUCGUGUGUGUCAAGGGGGUAGCCUCGUGUCUAGAGAGGGGUGAAUUGGCAUUGAUUUUUUUUUAUUAGUUUUCAUGACUUUUAAAGAGGUAGGUGGGAAAGAGAACUGGGAGAGCCCCACCUCACUCGUGGGGUUGAGGACAAUGGACUCUUUUGCUACAGUGGCUAAGACGGGGGUGGGGACAAAGUCGGACAUGGUUGGCAUUGUGAUGACCUCUCAUGGUCCGGUUUCCCCCGUCCCUGCCUAACGUUUUUUAUUAUCAAACAUUUCACAACGGGGAAAUUUCUUGCUUCCCAAGGGUGGUCUUGGGGAGCUGCUGGGAAUCAGGGGAGGGGGUGGUGGUGGCCCAAGUCUGGUAGCAUGUG
rnacentral:lncRNA from 1 species